AGGGCACCACCGGGAGUGGAGCCUGCGGCUUAAUUUGACUCAACACGGGAAAACUCACCCGGCCCGGACACUGUAAGGAUUGACAGACUGAGAGCUCUUUCUUAAUUCAGUGGGUGGUGGUGCAUGGCCGUUCUUAGUUGGUGGAGCGAUUUGUCUGGUUAAUUCCGAUAACGAACGAGACUCUGGCCUAUUAAAUAGACAAGGUAUUUAAAUGUACCUCGCGCUUCUUAGAGGGACAAGCGGCGUCUAGUCGCAUGAAAAAGAGCAAUAACAGGUCUGUGAUGCCCUUAGAUGUCCGGGGCUGCACGCGCGCUACACUGAAAGAAUCAGCGUGCAUUUAAACCUAGUCCGGAAGGACCGGGUAACCCAAGUAAAUUCUUUCGUGCUUGGGAUAGGGAAUUGCAAUUAUUUCCCUUAAACGAGGAAUUCCCAGUAAAUGCGGGUCAUAAGCUCGCGUUGAUUACGUCCCUGCCCUUUGUACACACCGCCCGUCGCUACUACCGAUUGGAUGACUUAGUG
rnacentral:rRNA from 1 species